rnacentral:rRNA from 1 species
UACAGGAGGGGCAAGCGUUGUUCGGAAUUACUGGGCGUAAAGGGCGCGUAGGCGGCCUGUUAAGUCGAACGUGAAAUCCCCGGGCUCAACCCGGGAACUGCGUCCGAUACUGGCAGGCUUGAAUCCGGGAGAGGGAUGCGGAAUUCCAGGUGGUAGCGGUGAAAUGCGUAGAUAUCUGGAGGAACACCGGUGGCGAAGGC